UACGUAGGGGGCAAGCGUUGUCCGGAUUUACUGGGCGUAAAGAGCGUGUAGGCGGCCAAGCAGGUCCGUUGUGAAAACUGGAGGCUUAACCUCCAGACGUCGACGGAAACCGCGUGGCUAGAGUCCGGAAGAGGAGAGUGGAAUUCCUGGUGUGGCGGUGAAAUGCGCAGAUAUCAGGAAGAACACCAAUGGCGAAGGCAGCUCUCUGGGACGGUACUGACGCUGAGACGCGAAAGCGUGGGGAGCGAACAGG
rnacentral:rRNA from 1 species